GACGAACGCUGGCGGCGUGCUUAACACAUGCAAGUCGAACGGAAAGGCCCUGCUUUUGUGGGGUGCUCGAGUGGCGAACGGGUGAGUAACACGUGAGUAACCUGCCCUUGACUUUGGGAUAACUUCAGGAAACUGGGGAUAAUACCGGAUAGGAGCUCCUGCUGCAUGGAGGGGGUUGGAAAGUUUCGGCGGGUGGGGAUGGACUCGCGGCUUAUCAGCUUGUUGGUGGGGUAGUGGAUUACCAAGGCUUUGACGGGUAGCCGGCCUGAGAGGGUGGCCGGCCACAUUGGGACUGAGAUACGGCCCAGUCUCCUACGGGAGGCAGCAGUGGGGAAUAUUGCACAAUGGGCGGAAGCCUGAUGCAGCAACGCCGCGUGCGGGAUGACGGCCUUCGGGUUGUAAACCGCUUUCGCCUGUGACGAAGCGUGAGUGACGGUAAUGUGUAAAGAAGCACCGGCUAACUACGUG
rnacentral:rRNA from 1 species